AAGAAGAAGAAGAAGAAGAAGAUUGUGAUCUGAGUUUGAUACUUGAGAUAUAUAUAACACAUCCUUGCACGAUUAUCCCAGAGGACUUCCUGCAAUGAAACUAUCAAAGAUUGUAUCUUAUAUCCAAAAAGAUCAAAAGACAUGUCUUCUUUGUUGGGCUUCCACCUCAUCGAGUUCCGAGUGAUAAGAAUGAGAUGAUCUGUGCUGUACUUUCUUGUCAGAGGCCAAAACCACACCUCGUCUUGCUUUGCUGUAGACAUCACCGACGAGAUGGGUUCACAGGCUGCCAUUCCGUGCCAAGCCACGACACAAGCGUGCCUCUCAAGCAGCAUAUCAUUCUUCCUCUCCCUCCAUCGCAACGGACAGCUCCUGCUCUUGUUUCCUUGUUCUUGUUGUCGGAGAAAGGAUCACAUGCUUUCUCCAGAAAACGAAGCUGGUCUCACUGGUUUUGCUGGCUGAGAACGAGAGGCACUCGAGACUUCCAUAUCAACACAGCCAGUAUCUGUAUCACUUUGGUCCCAAAUCAUAUCAUGUAUAUGGAUCGAUAGUGAUCGUCUCCUAAUUGCUGUACGGCUUUGUGUCCACUCCAUGUAUGCACAUUUCCUGAUAUGCUUUGUGCAAGUUGACAUGCAGAAUUCACUUCAUCCCGCCC
rnacentral:lncRNA from 1 species